GUACGGUUGUAACCUCCAUGUGGUUUUUUAAUUUGCUUUUUUACCCAAUAAUAUAUUUUGAACAUCAUUUUAAGUUAAUACACUUUUGGACUUCCCUGGCUUUUGGUCCACUGGCUAAAGUUAAUACACUUUUGGUCCACUGGCUAAGACUCCAUGCUCCCGAUGCAGGGGGCCUGGGUUUGAUCCCUGGCCUGAGAACUAGAUCCCAUGUACCACAACUAAGGCCCAGCACAGCCAGACGAAUAAAUAUUUAAAAAACAAAGUCAAUACAUUUUCAUCUACAGCAUCAUUUUAAGUGAAAGAAUAGAAUUCCAUUGUAGGGAUAUAACAUAAUUUGUUUAAAGAAUCAUCUCAUUACCACGCAAGACUUUGGAAUCUGCUGCUACAGUCUGACAUAGUGGUUGGAGAAUUCUGUUUCAGAUGGAUGUUUUGGCUCUCUCAGCUCCAUAGGCCCAUGCCACGAACCAAGGACAACAAGCCCAGGAAGAAAAAAAGAUCUACUGAACAGUUAUCAUGCUACUGACUCUAUUUCACUCUUCUCUUCUGGGCACCGAAGAAUGUUCUCAUUAUUCUCUGUCUUCCGUGGCAUAUAAGAGUUUCUAGCUGAGUUGCUCCACCAUUAAUUGUAUGUCUUCUUAACUUGGGAAAUUCUUCAGUGAGUGAACAGUCAUCCAUCUUCCUAUGGCUUACUUGAAUCAGAGGGACUUGCAGGAUGCUAACACAGUGCUGGGUUUCAGGAAAAAACCAUCUUUGCGAAUAAAUAAAGCAAGAACUUAACAGAACAUUAACUCCCUCUUUGCGAUGUGCCCAUGAGUCCCUCUAAGAAUGUGAGGUUAAGUAUGUAUAUCAAGAUCCCUCUUUAGAGGUGAUCCAUGCGAGUUGUUACCGCGAGCCUCAUUUCAUUUGGUGGAGCAGCUGCCAGCCAGCCAAGCAAGGCCAUGGUCAAACCAUGGGAGCCUUUCUCUUCUGGUCAUCAGUUUUUGUUUUUUUUUUUAAGCCAAAGUCUCUUCUAGGAGAGAGACUUCUGCUAUUUGCCUUUAUCUUUAAUUUAGAAAUAUAUAUUAAGUAUAUUCCUCCUUUCUCCAUACAUUUGAUACGAGGAGAUCUGCUAUUGGCUCUCCAGCCUUUAGUUCUCUUCCUUCAUAAUAACUUCCUGUUUAAGAAAACCACAACUUGGACCAUUCUCAGCCAUGCAGAUUUGAUGUGAGGGGCUGUAUAGCCACCUAUGAUUAGAACCUGAUUUCCCUUCCCCUGAACACAGUAAUUGGUUCAAAGGUCGUCACAGGACUUAAGUAAGUCCAAUCAGAGGUCCUUUGAUAGGGAUUCUGGGACACAGCAUCCUUUCUCUUCCGUCUGUGUUAAUGAGGAAGCAUGUUCCUUUCCCCCAGGAGCUGCUGGUAGGCAUCUUGCAGCAAUGAGAAGAGCCAGCCUUAGGAUGAAGAGAGUAGAGAUGGGAAGAAGUGGAAUCCUUUGAGUUGCUGCAUCAGAUCUUUUUUUAAUAUUUAUUUACUUACUUGGCUGUGCCAGGUCCUAGUUGCGGCCCAUGGGAUCUUCCAUCUUUGUUGCAACAGGCACAAUCUUUCAGUUGCAGCAUGAGAACUCUUAGCUGUGGCAGGUGGGACCUAGUUCCCUAACCAGGGAUUGAACCCAGUCCCCCUGUGUUGGAAGUGCAGUGUCUUAGCCACUGGACCACCGGGGAAGUCCCUACUGGAUCAGAUCUUGCCCAAAGUCCAUUCUACAUCUGUCUCUUUCUAAUUUUGUUAUUGUUGUUUGAUCUUUAAGUUGUGUAUGACUCUGUGAUGCCAGGCUUCUCCGUCCAUGGGAUUUCCCAGGCAAGAGUACUGCACUGGGUUGCCAUUUCCUUCUCCAGGGGAUCUUCCCGAUCCAGGGAUGGAUCCCACAUCUCCGGCGUUGGCAGGUGGGUUCUUUACCACUGAGCCACCAGGAAAGCCCUCCCCUUCAAAUACAUGAGCUAAUAAAUUCUUUUUCUUUCUAAAGACAAUUUGGGAAAGAUUUCCUAAUGCUUACACCUGGCAGAUACCUAACACAAUUGAUACUAUUUGUGAACAAACUGCAGCAAACUAACACCUUUCUUUCCACUGAUGGCUUUCUUCUUAUUUACAAAUUCUUCCUCCUCUAUAACCCAUGGGGUUUUCUGCCUAUCAAACCCACACCUGCUUCUCAUCACUGCCUUUCUGCACGUUUCCUCUUUUCCAUGUAUCCCAAACAUCCAAACUCCCUUUCUUUUCAAAGCUGCCAUCCCCUCUCCAGCCCUGGGGAAUUUUCUGUUUCCAGGAGUGACAAAGACCUAGGACACAAUCGCCCCAUUUCCUUUUUCUUUUCUUUUCUAGAAGGCAGUCACUCGGGACUUUCAGACCUCAGGAAUUGGCUGUCACGCAUCUCGAGGAAACAUUCAUGGAAGCAAAAUUACAAACACAGGAUGCUUUCACGGUUGCAGAAAGCACUUGCUAUUGUUGUCUUUGAGCUGUAGGAUCUAGUUCCUGGCUGGUUCCAAGGUGUCACCCUCAUAUAACGUUGAAAAGCUGGCCUGAAAUGCUUAGCCAAGGAAAUUCAAGCUUGUGUCUCUACUAGGUCUGGGAAUAUUCUGAGUUGCAACCUAAACUUGCUUCCUCAUUUCUGUGGCAGGUAUGAAUUCUUUGGUCUCCUUAGAAGAGGAAAGAAAUUCCUACGUGGUCCCCAGAAAUUAUUUUUGUGGGCUUUGAGCCACCCUGCACCUACUCGAUGGAUAUCCCACUGCCCUUCUAUAAGAGCUCUCCAAAUCUGGUCCUUGUAAAUCCUACCCAGUGUAGGUAAAGCCUGUUGUUAUUCCUCAGCAUUACGUCUCUUCCUUCAUGGGAGGGGUACCCCAGUUCCUUCGGGAAGCCACCUCUUGCUGACUCUUAGUCAUGAGGUUUAGGUGGGAAUGCCCUUUGCUCUACAGGUGGGCUUUAUUAACUUAAACCAAUCAGCAGAGCCCACAUGUGAUGACAGUGAUCAGUUCAGGAUGGGCCCAUAAUCCCAUUAAAGCCAUAGAGACAUGAGGAAACAUUUGCUAAGUUCUCCCUCUAGACCUCAGCCUGGCUAGUGUCAUUUCCUGCAACUUCCUGGAUACCCCCUUGGCCUCAGACCCUGGAAGUCCUUCCUUUCUUUCUUGCCCAAAUCUUUCUGUUCUACUCAACUUGCCCUUGGUGCUUUUUCAAGAUACUAAUGUGUGUGCCUUUCUAACCAAUGUUUGGUUCUUUUACCUCUUGUUCUUGUAUCCCUGUUCUAAACCAGGGAUAGCAAAUAGAUUUCAUCUCGUCUGUCAACUCUGAUCAAUAAGUAUUAGGACUGAGAUCCAAGCUAAGAAAGAUUCUGAGGCUGCCUCUGGCUUCAGCGAGAAAGUUUCAUAUCCCAGUUAAGACACAGAUCUAUCUGAAGUCCACUCCCACUCACCUUUGUCAGCAGCUUCUUACUGGUGAUUGGAAUCGUGAUGUGGGCUGCGUGUGGUAUUAGCAGAGGGGUGUGUAGUCCGUGAGCGUCUCACCUGGUACUCUGAGCUGGUAUCUGUGUUUCAGAGACAGCUGACUCCGCCUUGACUACUGUUUUUGAUCUAACAUCUCAUCUAAGCCCUCUCUGAAUCCAGGAUCUGCUGGUCCCAUCUCUCCAGAAAGAGAACUUCCUGACCAGGGAUAGAGGAUGGAUCUGGAGUCGUCUGUUUUUGCUCUCUACCAUGUGAGAGACGGAGGAGUCAUAGCUAAACAUCUGCCCCUCACCCACUUCAAUCUCCUGUCAUCAGCUGCCACCAUGACUACAGAACAAAAACAAGGAGGAAAGAGGACGUAAUUCAGUCAUCUGAAAAUGGUAUUCGAGAAGCGCCACUUACUGACUCACCUGGAAAUAAAACGUCUUGACAUUUUGGGAGUCAGGAUGAGCUGCCCAUUCAGAUAAUUUUCUAUAAAUAUCUCCAGGCAUAGCCCUCAAGCCCCUCUUACUUCAUUUCUCCACACUCAAACAACUCACAGAAUAAAUUAUGAUGCCAGGGGAAGAGCCAGAUUUUGUGGAAACCAAAGCUUUGCAAUUUAGAGGGAGGCGGGCUCUUUCUUUAGAGAAGAGAAUUAAAAAUUGUGAACAACUAAACAUGAAGUUUAAUAUUUACAUGAAAUGGGAAAAGGAACUACAGCAAGUCACAAAAUUUUAAAAACUGACAAAUACUACAAAAAUCUAGAAAAAUAAUAAUACCAUCAUUAUUUGAUGGCUUGACACAUCUCUUUAAUAUCCUUCUCUCUAUAUUGAUUGGUGACAUACCUCUGUAAAGUUCUUUUUUAAUUUUAAUAUUAAAGAAAUAUUUAGUUUAUUUAAUAUCCAUUUAUUUAUUUGGCUGAGCUAGGCCUGAGUUCAGAGAAGGCAAUGGCACCCCACUCCAGUACUCUUGCCUGGAAAAUCCCAUGGACGGAGGAGCCUCGUGGGCUGCAAUCCAUGCGGUCGCUAAGAGUCAGACACGACUUCACUUUCACUUUUCACUUUCAUGCAUUGGAGAAGGAAAUGGCAACCCACUCCAGUGUUCUUGCUUGGAGAAUCCCAGGGAUGGGGGAGCCUGGUGGGCUGCCGUCUAAGGGGUCACACAGAGUCAGUCACGGCUGAAGUGACUUAGCAGUAGCAGCAGCAGGCCUGGGUUGCAGCACAUGGGAUCUUCGAUCUCCACUGUGGCAUGCAGGAUGUUUUUGGUUUUGGCAUAUGGGAUAUUUUUUGUUUGUUUGUUUCAGCAUGUGGAUUCUUAGUUGUGGCAUUUGGGAUCUAAUUUCCUGACCAGGGAUUGAAUCCAGGCCCCCUGCAUUGGGAGUGUGGCAUCUUAGCCACUGGACCACCAGGGAAGUCCCUGUACACCUUAUAGCAAGAUUACUCAGUCUUUCUUCUAGCCUGGUUGAAUAAAUAUUUUUAUUGAUAUGAUAGAAAAAGUUUUUCAGCCUCAUAACUGGUUACUGAUAAGUCAUGUAGUUUUUUUAAAUUGUCAAAUUUGGGAGAUCCUACAUCAACUUUCUUUUACAUAUAAGCUGUAAGAAUUCAUACGUAUCUCAAAUUCUCUUGCACAGGGACUAAUGUUCAAUACUUUUUGAACUGAGGACCCUCAUUAACCAGUUUGUCAUUGUUUGGGUAGAUUAUGAUGUCAGUAUGUCAUGCUAGAUCAAGAAGAAACAGAUAUCAAACAAUAUAAAAGCUGAUUCUUUCCUUUUAUUCAAAACUUCUCUCUUCUUUGUGAAUUACUUCCUUGGAUAUAAUUUGAAUAAAAACGGAGGACUUAGAAUUUGCUUCUUAAUGUUGGAAUAAUUUAUACUGAUCUUAUUGCUUAUUUAUGACUCCCCUUCUCUUCCUAUUCCUAUCGAGCUCCCUUCUGCACCCUGCAGGGCCUCAUCACAUGUGCAAACACUACAGUCCAUACAACCAAGCUUUAUCUAUAAACCCCAGCAAACUGCUAUGCCUUGGCUCCCUCUUGGGCCUAGGAGUGUGCAUUCCUAUUCCUAAG
ensembl:lncRNA